UGGGGAAUAUUGGGCAAUGGGCGAAAGCCUGACCCAGCAACGCCGCGUGAAGGAAGAAGGUUUUCGGAUUGUAAACUUCUUUUAUCAGGGACGAAGAAAGUGACGGUACCUGAUGAAUAAGCCACGGCUAACUACGUGCCAGCAGCCGCGGUAAUACGUAGGUGGCAAGCGUUAUCCGGAUUUACUGGGUGUAAAGGGCGCGUAGGCGGGGAUGCAAGUCAGAUGUGAAAUCUAUGGGCUUAACCCAUAAACUGCAUUUGAAACUGUAUCUCUUGAGUGUCGGAGAGGUAAGUGGAAUUCCUGGUGUAGUAGUGAAAUGCGUAGAUAUCAGGAAGAACACCGGAGGCGAAGGCGGCUUACUGGACGAUAACUGACGUUGAGGCUCGAAAGCGUGGGGAGCAAACAGGAUUAGAUACCCUGGUAGU
rnacentral:rRNA from 1 species